UUUGGAAUUGUUGGCGCCAAGAGAAGAGGACUUCAGAUCUUCACCGAGAAGGAGAGAUGGACCCAUCACACCAUUUGCUGCAGUGGCAAUGCCACGUGGUGUUUGGCUUUAACAAAUCAAAUCUCCCAGAAUUGCUCCCAGGGACCCAUAAGCUUUUAGCUGCAGCAGCCAUGAACCUUCCUAAUCUUUGAUGUAGCUUUCAGAUAAUACAAUCGCUUGUCUUGGCUCAUUCUAAUGGCGUCUUUCUCCUCCUUCUUAGACAUUAGGAUCUCUAUUUCCCUUUCGAAGAUUUUGUCCGUGUGGAAAAGCUAUGCAAAUAUGAAGCUUUCUUGAAUCAGACUCAGUUUAAGGCUUUAAGCUAUUGCACUUAGAUUGAGACCAUGAAAUGAAAGUCAUCCAUAGAGACUUUUUCAUCAAUAUGAUUUUCUGUUAUUUGAACAAGGAGUAAUUAUGUGGAUAGGAAUUGCUCACAUCCUGUUGGACUUGGAACUCAAAUUCUAGACCUAAUGAUUCAGAUGACGCUAAACUAUUGGUGUUUAGCCAUGAAAACAACCUGUAUGGAUAUCCUUUUGGGCUUCUUGAUUAGUUAUACUCAGCAAUAUCAAGGGAUUUUUGCUUGAUAGGAGCUUCUGUGACAUUGUUUUGCCUCGUAGGAAGUGUUUUUGGUAGGAAAGGAGCUUUCUUGAUUUUGCAUCUUACCGUGGGAAAUUUUCGUAUCCCUUUGGGGGUUGACAUUUGAUUGUAUUAAAUCUAUUCAUCGCCCCUUAUUUGGACCCUGAAAUGGAGGCGUACGGAUGAUACUCCAUUAAUUAAUUCCCUCUUAUGUUUAGGGAACAGAAAUUGUCCGUCGAGCAGCCCAAAAGGGCACACCUCCGUGCAAUCAUUAUCCAAUAAAUAUCACUCCCAUAGCAUAGUGUCCAGCUACUGCGCCUUUUCCUGAAUAGUUUUGCUCUCUUUUUCUUCACAUGCAUCUGUUUUAAAAAUCAUAGCUAAAGUUACCGGUCCCAAGAGAAAAACCCUUCUUUUGUUUGCUUUACGCGAUAUCAUCUUUUAUUGCUUGCAAAUUGCAUAGGGAAAUCUACGUGAAUCUAGUAUCAAACGUUUUUCUUGUGGCUCUAAAUUAAAGUGAGAUUCUUUGAAAGGAAAUACCAAAGAAUAUAUUGUAUUGAUCAUUAACAGGAUAUUUAUUAGAUGUGAAAAAUGGUUAUUAUAGAAUUGGCUUCGGAGAGAUUAUGUGUAGGGGGUGUAAAGUUGAGAUUGUAAAGCAGGGUAUUCCUCUUUUUUAUCCCUUCGUAUCGGUCUCAUUCUGAAAAAUUAUAUAUUAGCGGUAGGCUAAUUCAAAAUGGUUUUGUUGUUUCUUUUGCUUGUGCCACUAGGUGCCAUUUAACUGGUAAGAACAAGAAGUGGUCUGUUUUUUUUAUCCCUUUGGCCAAAGUGGUAGACUUUUCUUUUCUUGAUUGGAUUUAUGUUCAUGCCUACAUUUGCAGGAGGAAUGAUAAGGUUCAUGGUGACUGAUGAAGUUAGGAGGACAAAAUAUAAGUUUUAUCUAUUUUAUUUGGUAUCAUAGCAAAUUGUUGGCUAGAGCACCUAGGUUAUAUGCUAUAAUACUCUCUUUUUUCAUAAAAAGGCAUAACAUCUGAUGCGCGUGUAUUCUUUUAUUGGAAAUCUUGAUUUCUGUU